AUGAACGCUAGCGACAGGCUUAACACAUGCAAGUCGAGGGGCAGCACAGGUAGCAAUACCGGGUGGCGACCGGCGCACGGGUGAGUAACGCGUAUGCAACUUGCCUAUCAGAGGGGGAUAACCCGGCGAAAGUCGGACUAAUACCGCAUGAAGCAGGGAUCCCGCAUGGGAAUAUUUGCUAAAGAUUCAUCGCUGAUAGAUAGGCAUGCGUUCCAUUAGGCAGUUGGCGGGGUAACGGCCCACCAAACCGACGAUGGAUAGGGGUUCUGAGAGGAAGGUCCCCCACAUUGGUACUGAGACACGGACCAAACUCCUAUGGGAGGCAGCAGUGAGGAAUAUUGGUCAAUGGCCGAGAGGCUGAACCAGCCAAGUCGCGUGAGGGAUGAAGGUUCUAUGGAUCGUAAACCUCUUUUAUAAGGGAAUAAAGUGCGGGACGUGUCCCGUUUUGUAUGUACCUUAUGAAUAAGGAUCGGCUAACUCCGUGCCAGCAGCCGCGGUAAGACGGAGGAUCCGAGCGUUAUCCGGAUUUAUUGGGUUUAAAGGGUGCGUAGGCGGCCUUUUAAGUCAGCGGUGAAAGUCUGUGGCUCAACCAUAGAAUUGCCGUUGAAACUGGGGGGCUUGAGUAUGUUUGAGGCAGGCGGAAUGCGUGGUGUAGCGGUGAAAUGCAUAGAUAUCACGCAGAACCCCGAUUGCGAAGGCAGCCUGCCAAGCCAUUACUGACGCUGAUGCACGAAAGCGUGGGGAUCAAACAGGAUUAGAUACCCUGGUAGUCCACGCAGUAAACGAUGAUCACUAGCUGUUUGCGAUACACUGUAAGCGGCACAGCGAAAGCGUUAAGUGAUCCACCUGGGGAGUACGCCGGCAACGGUGAAACUCAAAGGAAUUGACGGGGGCCCGCACAAGCGGAGGAACAUGUGGUUUAAUUCGAUGAUACGCGAGGAACCUUACCCGGGUUUGAACGCAUUCGGACCGAGGUGGAAACACCUUUUCUAGCAAUAGCCGUUUGCGAGGUGCUGCAUGGUUGUCGUCAGCUCGUGCCGUGAGGUGUCGGCUUAAGUGCCAUAACGAGCGCAACCCUUGCCACUAGUUACUAACAGGUGAUGCUGAGGACUCUGGUGGGACUGCCAGCGUAAGCUGCGAGGAAGGCGGGGAUGACGUCAAAUCAGCACGGCCCUUACAUCCGGGGCGACACACGUGUUACAAUGGCGUGGACAAAGGGAGGCCACCUGGCGACAGGGAGCGAAUCCCCAAACCACGUCCCAGUUCGGAUCGGAGUCUGCAACCCGACUCCGUGAAGCUGGAUUCGCUAGUAAUCGCGCAUCAGCCAUGGCGCGGUGAAUACGUUCCCGGGCCUUGUACACACCGCCCGUCAAGCCAUGGGAGCCGGGGGUACCUGAAGUCCGUAACCGCGAGGAUCGGCCUAGGGUAAAACUGGUGACUGGGGCU
rnacentral:rRNA from 1 species